ensembl:lncRNA
GUAAGACCUUCUGGGCCUCAACUGACAGAAAGAAGGCAGGAGUGUGUAAACCUCAAAAUAUGGGUAGCUCAGCGGAUUGAGAGCCAGCCCUAGAGGCAGAAGGUCCUGGGUUCAAAUCGGACCUCAGAUACUUCCCAGCUGUGUGACUCUGAUAGACAGAAAACAGCUGUUUUUAAAUCUCAGCAACAGGACUCUAAAGUCCUGGCUGGAAGAACUGUUUCUAAAUAUCCUUUCCCUUAAGGAACAACUUCCUGGAUUAAAAAAAAAAAAAAACCCUGUGGAAAGUUUGUUGCUUUGCCCUGCUCCCCACGUGUUUUGUGAAAUUACAAAAUAUACAUAUAAAAAUGAGUACUACAUUCUUUGACAAUUAUAUGGCAGCUGAAGAAGUAGGGGCAUUGAGGAAUGAAGGAUACCUCCAAAUUUUUAUAUUAAUAGGUACUGUCAUUUUUGUACUCCUCAAUACUAUAUUUAGAGAUGAAAAAAUAAAAAAUAUUGAGGAUAAAAUAAAACAAAAUGAGGAUAAAAUAAAACAAAAUGAGGAUAAAAUAAAACAAAAUGAGGAUAAAAUAAAACAAAAUGAGGAUAAAAUAGAAAAUAUUGAGGAUAAAAUAGAAAAUGUUGAGGAUAAAAUAGAAAAAAAUGAGGAUAAAAUAGAAAAUAUUGAGGAUAAAAUAGAAAAUAUUGAGGAUAAAAUAGAAAAAAUUGAGGAUACAAUAGAAAAAAUUGAGGAUACAAUAGAAAAAAUUGAGGAUAAAAUAGGAAAUAUUGAGAAUAAAAUAGAAAAACUUGAGGAUAAAAUAGGAAAUAUUGAGAAUAAAAUAGGAAAUAUUGAGGAUAAAAUGGGAGAUAUGGAAGAUAAAAUAGGAAAAAUUGAGGAAAAAAUGCAAGCCCAAUUAGAAGAUCUAAAAUGUUUCUUACAGGAUCAAUGGGCAAACACCCACUCUACCAGAAACAGACCUGUUUCUGAACCUUUGAAUGAGGAAAUUUCCUUCCCUGAAAUAGAGAUGGAAAACACCUUCCCUAUAGCCCAGUUAACAGACUGCUUCUCUCGUGCAGUGCAAAUCUUGUCUGAAUUUAAUCCCCAAAACCCUUCCCCUGCAAUCCCAGCUUCUCAUGUUCCUUCUCCUACAGAAAACCAAAUUCCAAUGCAAGGGAGAUCUUGUCCUCCUAGAGAAACCUGUCCUUGUCAAACUGACCCACAGGUGCAAAAUUCAACUAGAGGCCUGUUUCCUCUAAGAGAAGUACCUGAAAUAGGACGAAAUGGGGAUGUGGUGACUUUAAGACAUAGGAUACCGUUUACUCCCCAAGAAAUAAAUGAAUUUACACGAAAUAUCCCCACAUAUGAACAAGAUCCUUUUCUAGUAACAAAAAAGAUGGGAGACAUAUUUUUUCAAUAUAAUCCGUCUUACAAGGACGUUGAGAGCUUACUACAGGCUUUUUUAAGUGAACGUGAAAAAAAUAAAAUAAUUGCUCAUGUCAACAAAACCCGGGGGCGUAAUGCAGCACAUUGGCCAUCUCAGGAUCCCGAAUGGGACUAUAAUAAUCCUGAGGACUAUCUACAACUAUACCGUUGUAGAGAGGCCAUCCUCACGGCCAUGAAGGAAUGUGCGGAUAGUACAGAUAAGUGGAUGGAACUGGAAAAAAUUAAGCAAAAGGAAAACGAAACACCCUCCAGAUUUAUGGACAGAAUUAUCGAGUUUGGGGACAGAUACUUAGAUUGGGACUUAAAUAAAGAGAAUAGUUUAAGACAAGUUAGAAGAAUCUUUGUAAAUAAUUCUUGCAGAGUAAUUAAAAAUUAUUUUAAAACACAAUGCCCAAGAUGGUCAGAUAUGGACCUUGAAGAAUUGCGAAAAACAGCUAUAUAUGUUUUUAAGGGAAACGAAGAAAAGGAGAAAGAGAAUAAUGAUGACAUGGAGGAAAUGAAGAAAAAAAUGAGAUGUGUAAUAGAUAGGAUAACUAAAUUAGAAAGUGGGCAUGAUAAUGAACCAACGACAAUUGCCCCUCUCCAGAAAUCCAAUUAUCAAUCCAUUACUUGCCACUUCUGUGAGAAGAAGGGCCACAAAAUGAUGGAAUGUAGAACCUUUCUUAAGAUGUUUGGAAGGAAUACACA